rnacentral:rasiRNA from 1 species
UACUCGAGUAGGAGACUCAGUCAUGU